CAAAAAAAAAACGCGUAGGUAACCUGCCUGGUAGCGGGGGAUAACUAUUUGAAACGAUAGCUAAUACCGCAUAAAAUGAAUUAUCGCAUGAUAAUCCAUUGAAAGGUGCAAAUGCAUCACUACCAGAUGGACCUGCGUUGUAUUAGCUAGUUGGUGGGGUAACGGCUCACCAAGGCGACGAUACAUAGCCGACCUGGGAGGGUGAUCGGCCACACUGGGACUGAGACACGGACCAGACGUCUACGGGAGGCAGCAGGAGGGAAGAUUCGGUAAUGGACGGAAGUCUGACCGAGCAACGCCGCGGGAGGGAAGAAGGGUUUCUGUUUUUU
rnacentral:rRNA from 1 species